UGGGGAAUUUUGCACAAUGGGGGAAACCCUGAUGCAGCGACGCCGCGUGAGCGAAGAAGGCUUUCGAGUCGUAAAGCUCUGUCCUAUGAGAAGAUAAUGACGGUAUCAUAGGAGGAAGCCCUGGCUAAAUACGUGCCAGCAGCCGCGGUAAUACGUAUGGGGCGAGCGUUGUCCGGAAUUAUUGGGCGUAAAGGGUACGUAGGCGGUUUUUUAAGUCAGGUGUCAAAGCGUGGAGCUUAACUCCAUUAAGCACUUGAAACUGAAAGACUUGAGUGAAGGAGAGGAAAGUGGAAUUCCUAGUGUAGCGGUGAAAUGCGUAGAUAUUAGGAGGAAUACCGGUGGCGAAGGCGACUUUCUGGACUUUUACUGACGCUCAGGUACGAAAGCGUGGGGAGCAAACAGG
rnacentral:rRNA from 1 species